UGUACAUUUUCCUAAACAGGAAACCGUGAUCAUUUUGUCUUGAUCUGUGUUUUGAAGUUUGAGUGGCCAGACGAGAGAGAAGCCACCUCUUGGCCCAGCAACACGUUGAAUCUUGUACAGGUGCAGCAGGCGAUGAUGAAGAUGACAAUGAGCACGAUGAUGAUUCCACUGUUGUUAUGUCUCCCCCUGCUGGCUAUGAUUCUACACGCCCCUCAAGUCACGGCAGUCCAAGAGAGUGACCCGUGUUACAACUACACCGUGCUGAACGACACCUGGAGGGCCACCACCAAC